AGAGUUUGAUCCUGGCUCAAAACGAACGCUGGCGGCGUGGAUAAGACAUGCAAGUCGAACGGGAUAACAUUUGUAGCAAUACAGGUGUUAUUUAGUGGCGAACGGGUGCGUAACACGUGGGCAAUCUGCCAAGAAGUGGGGGAUAGCUCGCCGAAAGGCGAAUUAAUACCGCAUAUGGUUAGUGAAGACAUCUUCACAAUACCAAAGCCGGGGCAACCUGGCGCUUUUUGAUGAGCCCGCGGCCUAUCAGCUAGUUGGUGAGGUAACGGCUCACCAAGGCAUUGACGGGUAGCUGGUCUGAGAGGACGACCAGUCACACUGGAACUGAGACACGGUCCAGACACCUACGGGUGGCAGCAGUCGAUAAUUUUUCACAAUGGGGGCAACCCUGAUGGAGCGACGCCGCGUGGAGGAUGAAGGCUUUCGGGUUGUAAACUCCUGUCAUUUGAGAACAAGGUGCAUCGAUUAACUGUCGAUGCAUUGAUAGUAUCAGAAGAGGAAGAGACGGCUAACUCUGUGCCAGCAGCCGCGGUAAUACAGAGGUCUCAAGCGUUGUUCGGAUUCAUUGGGCGUAAAGGGUGCGUAGGUGGCGGGGUAAGUCAGGUGUGAAAUUUCGGAGCUCAACUCCGAAACUGCAUUUGAUACUGCCUUGCUUGAGGACUGGAGAGGAGACUGUAUUUCACGGUGUAGCAGUGAAAUGCAUAGA
rnacentral:rRNA from 1 species